CUAUACAUGCAGUCGAGCGGACAGAUGGGAGCUUGCUCCCUGAUGUUAGCGGCGGACGGGUGAGUAACACGUGGGUAACCUGCCUGUAAGACUGGGAUAACUCCGGGAAACCGGGGCUAAUACCGGAUGGUUGUUUGAACCGCAUGGUUCAAACAUAAAAGGUGGCUUCGGCUACCACUUACAGAUGGACCCGCGGCGCAUUAGCUAGUUGGUGAGGUAACGGCUCACCAAGGCGACGAUGCGUAGCCGACCUGAGAGGGUGAUCGGCCACACUGGGACUGAGACACGGCCCAACUCCUACGGGAGGCAGCAGUAGGGAAUCUUCCGCAAUGGACGAAAGUCUGACGGAGCAACGCCGCGUGAGUGAUGAAGGUUUUCGGAUCGUAAAGCUCUGUUGUUAGGGAAGAACAAGUACCGUUCGAAUAGGGCGGUACCUUGACGGUACCUAACCAGAAAGCCACGGCUAACUACGUGCCAGCAGCCGCGGUAAUACGUAGGUGGCAAGCGUUGUCCGGAAUUAUUGGGCGUAAAGGGCUCGCAGGCGGUUUCUUAAGUCUGAUGUGAAAGCCCCCGGCUCAACCGGGGAGGGUCAUUGGAAACUGGGGAACUUGAGUGCAGAAGAGGAGAGUGGAAUUCCACGUGUAGCGGUGAAAUGCGUAGAGAUGUGGAGGAACACCAGUGGCGAAGGCGACUCUCUGGUCUGUAACUGACGCUGAGGAGCGAAAGCGUGGGGAGCGAACAGGAUUAGAUACCCUGGUAGUCCACGCCGUAAACGAUGAGUGCUAAGUGUUAGGGGGUUUCCGCCCCUUAGUGCUGCAGCUAACGCAUUAAGCACUCCGCCUGGGGAGUACGGUCGCAAGACUGAAACUCAAAGGAAUUGAACGGGGGCCCGCACAAGCGGUGGAGCAUGUGGUUUAAUUCGAAGCAACGCGAAGAACCUUACCAGGUCUUGACAUCCUCUGACAAUCCUAGAGAUAGGACGUCCCCUUCGGGGGCAGAGUGACAGGUGGUGCAUGGUUGUCGUCAGCUCGGUCGUGAGAUGUUGGGUUAAGUCCCGCAACGAGCGCAACCCUUUGAUCUUAGUUGCCAGCAUUCAGUUGGGCACUCUAAGGUGACUGCCGGUGACAAACCGGAGGAAGGUGGGGAUGACGUCAAAUCAUCAUGCCCCUUAUGACCUGGGCUACACACGUGCUACAAUGGACAGAACAAAGGGCAGCGAAACCGCGAGGUUAAGCCAAUCCCACAAAUCUGUUCUCAGUUCGGAUCGCAGUCUGCAACUCGACUGCGUGAAGCUGGAAUCGCUAGUAAUCGCGGAUCAGCAUGCCGCGGUGAAUACGUUCCCGGGCCUUGUACACACCGCCCGUCACACCAAGAGAGUUUUUAACACCCGAAGUCGGUGAGGUAACCUGGUCGGAGCCAGCCGCCGAA
rnacentral:rRNA from 1 species